AAGGUUUAAAAGGUUUAUUUCUCUCUAUUUAACAAUGGUGCCGCAUAUUUCUCGAUUUAACAAACGGCACCAUUGUUAAGGAGAGAAACACGGCACCAUUGUUA
rnacentral:pre_miRNA from 1 species